rnacentral:rRNA from 1 species
GACGUAGGAUGCAAGCGUUGUCCGGAAUUAUUGGGCGUAAAGAGUUCGUAGGCGGUUGCCUAAGUCUGAUGUUAAAUACUGGAGCUCAACUCCGGCAUGGCAUUGGAAACUGGGCAGCUAGAGUGUGGUAGAGGUCUCGGGAAUUCCAGGUGUAGCGGUGAAAUGCGUAGAUAUCAGGAGGAAUACCGAUGGCGAAGGCAGGUCUCUGGGCUAUAACUGACGCUCAUGCACGAAAGCGUGGGGAGCAAACAGG